GCCCCUGUCGUCCAAUGGCUAGGACAUCGCACAUGCUUUGAAAUUUUCAAAACAAUCUCGGCGAAGAUCGGCGUUCAAAUCGUCGUAGGGGCG